UCACACUAUCAUUAACUGAAUCCAUAGGUUAAUGAGGCGAACCGGGGGAACUGAAACAUCUAAGUACCCCGAGGAAAAGAAAUCAACCGAGAUUCCCCCAGUAGCGGCGAGCGAACGGGGAGGAGCCCAGAGCCUGAAUCAGCAUGUGUGUUAGUGGAAGCGUCUGGAAAGGCGCGCGAUACAGGGUGACAGCCCCGUACACAAAAGCGCAUGUGCUGUGAGCUCGAUGAGUAGGGCGGGACACGUGGUAUCCUGUCUGAAUAUGGGGGGACCAUCCUCCAAGGCUAAAUACUCCUGACUGACCGAUAGUGAACCAGUACCGUGAGGGAAAGGCGAAAAGAACCCCGGCGAGGGGAGUGAAAAAGAACCUGAAACCGU
rnacentral:rRNA from 2 species